CGAGUAAAGUGGCGGACGGGGUGCGUAACACGUGGGGAACUUCCCUUCUGGUGGGGGAUAACAAUCCGAAAGGAUUGCUAAUACCGCAUACGUCGACGAGGACCCUGGUUCUUGUCGGGAAAGAUGGCGAAAGCUGUCGCUGGAAGAUGGCCCCGCGUCCCAUCAGCUAGUUGGUGAGGUAAUGGCUCACCAAGGCAAAGACGGGUAGCUGGUCUGAGAGGAUGAUCAGCCACACUGGGACUGCGACACGGCCCAGACUCCUACGGGAGGCAGCAGUGGGGAAUAUUGGUCAAUGGGCGAAAGCCUGAACCAGCCACGCCGCGUGAGUGAUGAAGGCCUUCGGGUCGUAAAGCUCUGUGGGGAGGGACGAAAUCUUCGGUGUUAACAGCGCCGGAGUCUGACGGUACCUCCUUAGCAAGCACCGGCUAACCCUGUGCCAGCAGCCGCGGUAA
rnacentral:rRNA from 1 species